UAGUACCACUCUGUUGCAUUAUGGGAAUUCUUGGAAUAUUUUACAUCAAAAGACAGCUAAAGAAUGGAAUCUGGGAAGGAGGAAGUCAAACAUCCAAGGUAUAUAUUUGGUCAUGUCAUCUCCAGAAUAACCAUUUUCUGUUAGUGAAUUUUUGGUUAAUUUCUUUCUCUUUUCAAGAUCUUUAGGUGAAAAAUAUAAUAUUUGUAUUAGUUAUAUUUACAUUAAUUAUAUUUAGAUUAUUUUUAUGCGGUGUUGAUUUAAUGUAUUAAAAAUAGAAAAAUGGUAACAUUGUCAAUUAUGCAAAAUAAAUCACUUAUACCUUCACAUUUUGGGAUAAAAAAUGUCCCCGACAUUAUCUUAGGAGACCAGAAAUAUCAUCAAGAGUUAACAACAGUGAUGUGGCGUCACAUAACACUAAUUCCACCACAUAAGCUUGCCAACUAGGAUACCCACUGAAUUUUGACCCAAUUUAUAAUCGAAAUCUUAACCCAUUCUUGAAUGAUGAAUCCCAACCCACUAAAAUUUUAAAAAAAUAAAAAAAUUCCAAUGCAUUCUUCCACCGGCCCCUUUCUGUCUUAUGAUUAAAAGUCAAGACCUAGCAGGUAAUUCAAAUAGAAUCAAGGAACAAGCAAAAAUCAAAUAACCGGCUGACGGAGGUAGUAGAUAUUUCAUAGAAUUAAUUGAGUUAUAUGAACAAUACGAUUAUAAAUAGAAUAAAAAUUAAAAUCAAAAUCAACACACUGGUUCCAAAAUAUGCGGGUUUUUUUUUUUUUGACUUUUUGCAUCAAUUUUAAUAGGUUAAAUACACAAUCGUCCCACAUGAAGCCUCACAAAUGCAAGAGGAGCCUUCCCUAGUGGUGGUUCAAGAAGCAAAAGUAAACCUUGAGGCAGAGACGUGAUGGGACAUGGAAGAUGAGGG
rnacentral:lncRNA from 1 species